GGGGAUGUGGCUCAAGCGGUAGCGCUCUCACCUGGCAUGAGAGCGGCCCGGGUUCGAUCCUCAGCACCACA
rnacentral:tRNA from 1 species